rnacentral:rRNA from 1 species
UACGGAGGGUGCGAGCGUUGUCCGGAAUCACUGGGCGUAAAGGGCGCGUAGGCGGCUCGGUAAGUAGGGGGUGAAAUCCUGCGGCUUAACCGCAGGGCUGCCUUCUAAACUGUCGAGCUCGAGCACGGUAGAGGCAGAUGGAAUUCCCGGUGUAGCGGUGGAAUGCGUAGAGAUCGGGAAGAACAUCAGUGGCGAAGGCGGUCUGCUGGGCCGUUGCUGACGCUGAGGCGCGAAAGCUAGGGGAGCGAACAGG